AGCGAACGCUGGCGGCAGGCUUAACACAUGCAAGUCGAACGCAUCCUUCGGGAUGAGCGGCGGACGGGUGAGUAAUGCCUAGGAAUCUGCCUCAUAGUGGGGGAUAACUCGGGGAAACUCGAGCUAAUACCGCAUAUGUCCUGAGGGAUAAAGCGUGGGAUCUUCGGACCACGCGCUAUGAGAUGAGCCUAGGUCGGAUUAGCUAGUUGGUGGGGUAAAGGCCUACCAAGGCGACGAUCCGUAGCUGGUCUGAGAGGAUGAUCAGCCACACUGGGACUGAGACACGGCCCAGACUCCUACGGGAGGCAGCAGUGGGGAAUAUUGGACAAUGGGGGAAACCCUGAUCCAGCCAUGCCGCGUGUGUGAAGAAGGUCUUAGGAUUGUAAAGCACUUUAAGUCAGGAGGAAGGGGUGUGUGUUAAUAGCACAUACUUUUGACGUUACUGACAGAAUAAGCACCGGCUAACUUCGUGCCAGCAGCCGCAGUAACAC
rnacentral:rRNA from 1 species